rnacentral:rRNA from 1 species
UUUGGCGAGCUGCCUUCGGGCCUUGUAUGCUCGCCAGAGAAAACCAAAACUCUUUUUAUUAAUGUCGUCUGAGUACUAUAUAAUAGUUAAAACUUUCAACAACGGAUCUCUUGGUUCUGGCAUCGAUGAAGAACGCAGCGAAAUGCGAUAAGUAAUGUGAAUUGCAGAAUUCAGUGAAUCAUCGAAUCUUUGAACGCACAUUGCGCCCCUUGGUAUUCCGGGGGGCAUGCCUGUUCGAGCGUCAUUUCAACCCUCAAGCUUAGCUUGGUAUUGAGUCUAUGUCAGUAAUGGCAGGCUCUAAAAUCAGUGGCGGCGCCGCUGGGUCCUGAACGUAGUAAUAUCUCUCGUUACAGGUUCUCGGUGUGCUUCUGCCAAAACCCAAAUUUUUCUAUGGUUGACCUCGGAUCAGGUAGGGAUACCCGCUGAACUUAAGCAUAUCAAUAAGCGGAGGA